CAGCACCUCAAGUGGUCAGGAUGAUUAUUGGGCCUAAAGCAUCCGUAGCCGGCGCUGUAAGUUUUCGGUUAAAUCUGUACGCUCAACGUACAGGCUGCCGGGAAUACUGCAGCGCUAGGGAGUGGGAGAGGUAGACGGUACUCGGUAGGAAGGGGUAAAAUCCUUUGAUCUAUUGAUGACCACCUGUGGCGAAGGCAGUCUACCAGAACACGUCCGACGGUGAGGGAUGAAAGCUGGGGGAGCAAACCGGAUUAGAGACCCGAGUAGUCC
rnacentral:rRNA from 1 species